AGAAUGUCAUUUGUAUAGUUUAAAAUUUUUGUUGUUGUUGUUAUACUUUAUUGAGAGUUUUUUGACUAUUUCGUAGAUGAUUGAAACACACACAGUAUUGUGUUCCAAUGUCCGGCUUCUUGUCUGUGUCUAUCUGAUGUGGGCUGACAAAGCAUGACCAGUCUCUUGCAUAGGAGGAAGUGGUAAGCUAAGGAGAGAAAUGCAUGGUUCCUAGCACACCAAUUUUGCAAAGAUGAAAAAAACCAAUUUUUCAUCUUGGCCUUGCUUUAAAAUGACGCAUCUACUGUCUUCGUGCCUCAGCACAGCAGAGAAAACCAUGCUGUGUUCCAGUUUACUUUGA
rnacentral:lncRNA from 1 species